AUGCCGCUCUCCGCACUCUCCUCGGGCCACAUCGAAGCCGCCGCGACCGUGCUCCUCACCUCGCUGGCCUUCCUCCCGCGCGCCGCGCAGCGCUGGUUCCGGCCGUGGAAGCUGCUGCUCUGCUUGGGAUCCCGCGGACGCCGCAGCGGCCGCGGAGCUCGGCCUCCGCCUCGUCCACGUCGACACCAACCACGUCGAGGAGAUCGCGAACACGGUCAUGGCGCUCUUCCUCGACCUCCUCCGCCGCACCCACCUGCUGUCCGGACACGCGUCCUCCUCCACGCCGUCCGCCGGGUGGCUCGGCUCCGUCCUCCACCUCCUUCUAUCCUUGCACGGAGCUCAAGCUCUUGCCCGCACCCAUCUUGCCCAUCCCCUGCUGGAACACGUAGAAGAAGUAGCCCUGGUUCAUGGCGAACAUGUUCACAAGCCGUUGCAUCUCCGGCGACUCGAACAGCGUCUGGUCCGAGCUCAGCAGGCCCCUCCGCUGCUGCAGCUCCUUGA
rnacentral:rRNA from 1 species